CGGGCAUAUCUAAGGAAACUGAGCAUGUCUUCAGUUAAGCUGGUGUGGAUGGUACUUUUAGCUACCAUCGUCUACAUUGACUCCGUAAAGAGCUACAGUGUCUUUAUGGACGAAGUAUUUGGACCCUGUCCUAAACCU